rnacentral:lncRNA from 13 species
GCACGUCUGGCAUUGCAGGAUUUGAGUCCCUGGCGGCGUAGUGUGUCACUGAUGGUAGGCUUUGUUACUUUGGUCCCAGCUCUCUGAAGGUCAUUCACUUGGUCCCCCUGUGUGGUUCUGGGAUUUUUGCUCACCGUUCUUGUGAUAAUUUUGACCCCACGGGGUGAGAUCUUGAAAUAAAAGGCAUGGGGGCUUCAGGGAAAAGUGGGACUGGGGAGGUUUGAAGAGGGAGGGAGGGAGGGUGUUGAGGGAGGGAGGAAGCCUUCCUUUCAAUUCUGAAUUUCUUCUUGUGCCAUAUUUCAUAGAGAGAGAGGGAGAGAGAGGGAGGCUGAGAGGGGGAGGGAGGGGGGGAGGGGGAGAGAGAGAGAGNNNNNNNNNNACCCUAUUCCCAGUGUGUAUAGUCUACCCUAUUCCCAAUGUGUAUAGUCUACCCUAUUCCCUACAUGUGUAUAGUCUACCCUAUUCCCAAUGUGUAUAGUCUACCCUAUUCCCAGUGUGUAUAGUCUACCCUAUUCCCUACAUGUGUAUAGUCUACCCUAUUCCCUACGUGUAAGUCUAUGACAUUUCAGAUUUAUAUAUGAUAAUUUUUCACAAGGUAGUUACGAUGUAGUGAGCUACUCUUUCAAAUAUACUUUAGUUAAGUUAAGAACUAUAUUUAAGUGAAGGUCUUGUGUAGCUUAUCUUAUUCCAGUGGGAAGUCAUUGGUAGGUUUGGCCAAAUAUAUUUUCAGAGUAGCUUCCUCAACACUGGUGGCUGAGCUGAACCGUGUGUGUCCGCUGAACUGCUGAAGAUCACACACACACACACACACACACACACACACACACACACACACACACACACACACACACACACACACACACACCUGUUUAAAAAAUGGCUUAAGAGGAGAAAAUAUACAUUGUUUGUGCUAAUCAGACUGACUGCCUACUCCAUUGUAUAACACUAAAAAAAUGUUUCACACUGUGUGUGUGUGUGUGUGUGUGUGUGUGUGUGUGUGUGUGUGUUUGACCUCUUGUCUCUUGUAAAACACCCAUUAAUUCAUCUCCUCUCCACACCUCGCCUUAGUCCCAAAUGACACCGUAUCCCCUACAUAGUGCACUAAUUCUGAC